AUGCUUAUAAAAGGUUCCCUGGUCCAGGCAGCGCUGACUCAGCCGGCCUCGGUGUCAGCCAACCCGGGAGAAACCGUCCAGAUCACCUGCUCCGGGGGUGGCACCAUCUAUGGUAACGUUUAUGGCUGCACCUACUAUGGCUGGUACCAGCAGAAGGUACCUGGCACUGCCCCUGUCACUGUGAUCUACCGGAAUGAGCAGAGACCCUCGGACAUCCCUUCGCGAUUCUCCGGGUCCAAGUCCGGCUCCACGGCCACGUUGACCAUCGCUGGGGUCCAAGCCGAGGACGAGGCUGUCUAUUACUGUGGUGGCUACGACAGCAGCAGCAGCUAUGGUGUUUAG